rnacentral:piRNA from 1 species
GCAGCCGCCAAUGGGGUAACUUU